rnacentral:rRNA from 1 species
AUUGAACGCUGGCGGCAUGCUUUACACAUGCAAGUCGAACGGUAACAGGGAGCUUGCUCCGCUGACGAGUGGCGAACGGGUGAGUAAUGCAUCGGAACGUACCCAGUCGUGGGGGAUAACGUAGCGAAAGUUACGCUAAUACCGCAUACGUCCUGAGGGAGAAAGCGGGGGACCGAAAGGCCUCGCGCGAUUGGAGCGGCCGAUGUCGGAUUAGCUAGUUGGUGGGGUAAAGGCCUACCAAGGCGACGAUCCGUAGCGGGUCUGAGAGGAUGAUCCGCCACACUGGGACUGAGACACGGCCCAGACUCCUACGGGAGGCAGCAGUGGGGAAUUUUGGACAAUGGGGGCAACCCUGAUCCAGCCAUGCCGCGUGAGUGAAGAAGGCCCUCGGGUUGUAAAGCUCUUUUGUCCGGAAAGAAAAGCAUCUGGUUAAUACCCGGGGUGUUCUGACGGUACCGGAAGAAUAAGCACCGGCUAACUUCGUG